rnacentral:rRNA from 1 species
UGAUCCAGCCAUGCCGCGUGAGUGAAGAAGGCCUUCGGGUUGUAAAGCUCUUUCGGCCGGGAAGAAAUCGCAUCUCCUAAUACGGGGUGUGGAUGACGGUACCAGAAUAAGAAGCACCGGCUAACUACGUGCCAGCAGCCGCGGUAAUACGUAGGGUGCGAGCGUUAAUCGGAAUUACUGGGCGUAAAGCGUGCGCAGGCGGUUUCGUAAGACAGAGGUGAAAUCCCCGGGCUCAACCUGGGAACUGCCUUUGUGACUGCGAGGCUAGAGUAUGGCAGAGGGGGGUGGAAUUCCACGUGUAGCAGUGAAAUGCGUAGAGAUGUGGAGGAACACCGAUGGCGAAGGCAGCCCCCUGGGCCAAUACUGACGCUCAUGCACGAAAGCGUGGGGAGCAAACAGGAUUAGAUACCCUGGUAGUCCACGCCCUAAACGAUGUCAACUAGGUGUUGGGAGGGUUAAACCUUUUAGUACCGUAGCUAACGCGUGAAGUUGACCGCCUGGG